rnacentral:rRNA from 1 species
CAGCCGCCGCGGUAAUACGAAGGGUGCAAGCGUUACUCGGAAUUACUGGGCGUAAAGCGUGCGUAGGUGGUUUGUUAAGUCUGAUGUGAAAGCCCUGGGCUCAACCUGGGAAUUGCAUUGGAUACUGGCAGGCUAGAGUGCGGUAGAGGGUAGUGGAAUUCCCGGUGUAGCAGUGAAAUGCGUAGAGAUCGGGAGGAACAUCUGUGGCGAAGGCGACUACCUGGACCAGCACUGACACUGAGGCACGAAAGCGUGGGGAGCAAACAGGAUUAGAUACCCUGGUAGUCCACGCCCUAAACGAUGCGAACUGGAUGUUGGGCUCAACUUGGGGCUCAGUAUCGAAGCUAACGCGUUAAGUUCGCCGCCUGGGGAGUACGGUCGCAAGACUGAAACUCAAAGGAAUUGACGG